rnacentral:rRNA from 1 species
ACGCUCGACACCUACGGGAGGCAGCAGUCGGGAAUAUUGCGCAAUGGAGGAAACUCUGACGCAGUGACGCCGCGUAUGGGAAGAAGGUUUUCGGAUUGUAAACCAUUUUAGACAGGGAAGAAAAAAGACAGUACCUGUAAAAUAAGCUCCGGCUAACUACGUGUCAGCAGCCGCGGUAAUCUGAGCGGGCUGGCAAGGC